UCCGGAAUUCGAUUGCAAGUGGAAGUUACGGGUAGCAAGUCGUGGGUGAUGAUCGAGGCCACGUUAAAACGAUCAUCAACAAAGUUAGCUGCAAACAACGCAGACUACACACCCGCCAGCGCAGCAAUAGCUGCCUGAUUAACGCGGGCAUGCUCAGCCGGGUUCGCCCGGAACGCGGAUGAGGAUGUCAUUCAAACCGGGCUUAGUUGACGCGGACUACCGACACGUCAAUAAAACUUAAGGUGGUGUUCCGGAAUGAGGAGGUCGGUUGCCAAUACCUCCGGAGAAAACAUCCAAGUUCCGACUAAACUUGUAGCGACCUGAAUGGAAACUCUGCAGGACGCGGGU
rnacentral:tmRNA from 1 species